rnacentral:lncRNA from 1 species
GGAGUUCCCUGGUAGCUCAGCAGAUUAAGGAUCUGGCAUUGUCACCGCUGUGACUUGGGUGGGUUCCAUUCUUGGCCUUGGGAACUUCCACGUAGUGUUGUGACGGCACAUCAGCACAUCGUAAGCAGCCCAAAAGGCCAGCCCUUAUCAUUAUCAUCAUGGUCACGAUCCACGUGAUCCAAUGUCAGUCACAAACCCUCAGUCAAAACCGUUCCAGUGGUCUGUUGCUGCAUAACACAUUUUCGCAAAUUUGGGAGCUUAAAAAAACAUAGGGAGUUCCCGUUGUGGCACAGUGGAAAAGAAUCUGACUUGUACCCAUGAGUCUGCAGGUUCGAUCCCUGGCCUCGCUCAGUGGGUUGGGGAUCUGGCAUGGCCAUGAAGAUCGCAGAUGCAGCUCAGAUCCCACACUGCUGUGGCUGUGGCGUAGGCCAGCAGCUGUAGCUCUGAUUCAACCCCUAGCAUGGGAACUUCCAUGUGCUGCAUGUGCAGCCCUAAAAAAUAAAGAUUUCUUUCUUCUAGUAUAUGCACCCUGGUGGGCGAGGCUGGCCUAGGGGCAGGGUUCUUGGUGGGAGGGACCAGUGCCUGUCUGCUGGUGUGUGGAGUGGGCUGAGCUGGGUCUACCAGAGGCUGUGGGCUCUCCAGUCCCCAGGCAGCCCCUCCCAGCUAGUUGCCUGGCCUAAGACCUCCCAGCACCAUUGCUUACAGGUGGCUGGGUGGGGGCAGGGCCGGGUCCCAGCACCAACGAGCUGACAUGGCAGCCUAGCCCCACGCUCCUUUGGCUGAAGGCAGCUCAGUCUGCUAGGAGUGAGCGGUCCCCAGGGUGGGUCACAGUUGCCGCCCGACUUCUCCAAGAGAUUCUCCAAGACCAGCAGGUAGGUCUGGCCUAGGCUCCCCACUCACUGCUGUUGCUCUGGGUCCUGGCACGGGUGAGACCUUGUGGAUGCCAUUUAAGAGCGAUGUCUCCACCAACCCCAGCCCCGUGGGGCUCCCACAGUCAAGCCUUCAAAGCCAAAUGUUCUGGGGAUCGUUGUCCUGUCUCCCUGGAGCCAGACCCCCAGACUGGGGAGCCUGAUGUGGGGCCCAGAACUCUGACUCCUUUGGGUGAACCUCCACCAUACAUCUGUUUUCCAGGUUGUGGGUCGUCCAACCCAGGGUAUGGGAUUUGAUUAUAUCCGGAGUCUGCCCCUGCCACCUGUCUCCCCAUGGUUCCCUCCCGGUGUCUGUAGUGGUGGAAGAGCUGGUCUGGAAGGCUCCAGCUCCUUUUCGUGAUGGCUGUUGUGCAGACGGCGGUGACUGCGGUGCGAUCCCGAGAGAUGAGCCCAGGUGCCCCAGCCUCCAUCCCGCUGUCUUGGCUGCUCUCCUAUUAUUUCUUCAGACAGAUUCUCUGUCCCCCUCUCUUUUCUUCUGGGAUACCCGCUCCCCUACUGUUGCCCUUCCUGAAAGAGUCAGAUAGCUCUGGUAGAAUGUCCUCAUUUAAAAAAAUCUUACGUCUCUUCCUUCUUCUAUUUGUGUUGAUCUCAGAGAGACACCAGUGAGUGAGGGCUUGGAGUGAGAUCUUCCUUUUCUGCUCAGGAAUCGAACCUGGGCAGCCUGGUUGAAAACCAGGAAUCCUAGCCACUAGAUUAAGAGGCUAAAAGCAGAAUUGUGCUGAUUCCUGCCCCCUGCUGAAAGCAAGAAUGUUUCAAGGAGGCAAAGACUGUGAAAACAGGUAUAGAGUUUAUUGUUAGAGUCAAGGCCCAACACAUGGGCGAGCACACAGAGAAGGAGUUUAUUUAAUUCAGAAGCAAAGAAGAGCAGAGUGUGGGUAGGGGUGUCCCCCAGAGUGAGGAGAGCACCAGGGAGGUGAUUUAACUCACUUAUGUAAGACCCGUCUUCCGGGUCUUUGUUUUCCUUUGGCCAAUUAUUUUGUUUUAUUCCUCACACCUGACUGGACACAGGACCCUCCCCAAUGUGUGUGUGUGCACAUUUUGGCAAAGAUGGAUUCCAAAGCAAAGGGUGAUGGGACGGUAUCAGGACUUAUUACGGCCUGGCACCCCCUCCCUUCCUGACCCCCACUUGUGCUACUGCUCAUGUGUAAUUGGAUAGCUCUCCUUGACCCCAUGGGUGAUUGAAGUGACCCUCUUAUCUUUCUACUCCAGCAGAGCUCAGCUCCUGCCAUGAACUUUCUCCCUGAUGAGUCAAAGAGAACUGAGGCCCCAUUUACUCUGGGUAACAAGUCCCAGCUGGUCUCAGCCCAGGGGCCCAUUUACCUCCUGCCUCAGUAUCACUGGUAGAUUGCUACCUUCAAGCGUGCUAGUUCUCUCUUCCAUAUACGGUCUGCUCUUAUUUCCAAUGCUAUUGUACUCUUCAUCUUGUUUAUUUUCCAGCUCCAGAAUUUCUGUUUGGUUCUUUAGAGUUUCAAUCUCUUUGGUAAAGUGUUUCUUCUGUUCAUUAAUUUUGUUCCUUUUGUUGUUGUCACCACGACAAAAAUGGCAUCUCAGUUCCCAGACUAGAGGUUGAACCCGGGUUACAGCAGCGAAAGCGCUGAGUCCUAACCACGGGACUCCAUUAAUUUUAUUCCUGAACUCUGACUACCUUUCUCAGUUUUCUUGCAGCGCCUUGAUUUUUUUCACAGAGCUAUUUUGAAUUCUCUAUCAGUAAGAUCUCAAUAUUCUGCAACUUUAAGUUUGUUACCAUGGUUCUUCAUGGUGCUUGAUGAGUUGUUUCCGGAAGUAGAGGACAGAUGCCUUUGUGCCUGAUGCAAACGAUCCGAACGGGUCAGAAAUUGAGGUGUUUCUUCUGUUUUCCAGUAGGUGGUGCUAUAGCACAAGGUUGAGGCUUCUCUUACCGGCGCCGCCUCUGGUUGGUUGUAUUAGAGAGCCUGCGUUUGCCACACUCCACCGGCUUUCUCAGAGAAGUUGCUCCAAGCCUUCGUAAAUGUUUCUUGUGCCUCUGGGGUCAUCGGUGCCUUGCUUUUGCCAUUGUUUCCGGUGUUGCUGCCUGCGGCACGGAGAGGAUGGGCGCUUCCUUUACAGUCCAGAUACUUCCAGGGUUGCGGUUGCUACCACCGAGGGGAAGGCGAGGGUGGCCAGGGUGGCGAGUGCGGGGAGGACGCUGAUGUUGCACUGGCGCCUCUGCCAUGUCCAGUGAUGUAAAGUUUGCUCCCUCCACCGUUGCGGGUGGGUGGCCAGGGGCCAGAGUUGUGGAUGUCUCAGCAGCUGGAGGGAUGGGAUCCUAGGCACUGCUGUCCAGUGACCCGCGGCUGUGGGUACCGCCGAUGCUGCGAGGCCAGAGUCUGCGACCUCCCCCUGCUAUGACUGGUUCUCUGGGGCUUCCGGCUCACCUGCCGUGGCAGGAGGGCUGGGAUUCCAAGAACCACCUCCUAGUUCCCUCAGUUCUGCCUCCUCUUUGUGUCCAGGAACCCCCGCCUCCAGAGGUACAGGUGUGUGGAAUUUUCUGGACAGCUGCUGUGUUGGACAUAGGUGCCUUUGUUGUGUUGUGAAUGUUUUACCCAUUGUAGACUGAAGAGAGACAAGCAGAGUUUUUCAUCUGCCACGUUACCGAUGUCACUCCUCUGUGGGUUAUUUUUCAUAAAAUUAUGUUAACAUGCUAUGGUUUUUUUAAAUCUUAAAAAAUGAAGUAGAUAAUAUUAUAAAACCUCUCAAUCUCAUUUCUCCAAAGAAGACAUACAGAUGGCCAGUAGGCACACGAAAAAAUGCUCCACAUCACUAAUUAUUAGAGAUAUGCAAAUCAAAACUACAACAGGAUACUUCCUCGCAUUGCUCAGAAUGGCCAUCAUUAGUAAGUCUACAAAUAACAAAUGCUGGAGAGGGUGUGGAGAAAAGGGAGCCCUCCUACACUGUUGGUGGGCAUGUAAAUUGGUACAAUCACUAUGGAAAACAGUAUGGAGAUUCCUCAGAAAACUAAAUAUAAAUUACCCUGUGAUUCAGCAAUUCCACUCCUGGGCAUAUCCCUGGAUAAAACUAUAAUUCAAAAAGAUACAUGCACCGCUAUGUUCAUUGCAGCUCUAUUCACAAUAGCCAAGACUUGGAAACAACCUAAAUGUCCACUGAGAGAUGAAUGGAUUACGAAGAUGUGGUACAUAUAUACAGUGGAAUACUACUCAGCCAUAAAAAAGAAAUAAUGCCAUUCACAGUAACAUGGAUGCAACUAGAGAUUCUCAUACUAAGUUAAGUCAGAAAGAGAAAAAUACUAUAUAUAUGUUAUCACUUAUAUGUGGAUUCUAAAAUAUGGCUCAAAGGAACCUAUCCACAGAACAGAAACAGACUCAGAGACAUGGAGAACAGACUUGUGGUUGCCAAGGGGGAUGAGGGAGUGAGUGAGAGGGACUGGGAGUUUGGGGUUAAUAGAUGCAACUUAUUAUGUUUAGAAUGGAGAAGCAAGGAGAACUGUAUAGCACAGAGAACUAUAUCCAAUCUCCUGGAGUAGACCAUGAUGGAGACUUUUAUACACAUUCUUUUAUUUGGCUAUUUUUUUUGGGCCGCACUUGAGGCAUAGGGAGGUUUCCAGGCGAGGGGGUCAAAUCGGAGUCGCAGCUACUGGCUGACACCACAGCAACACCAUUUUCGAGCCACAUCUGUGAACUAUAGCACCACUCAUGGCAACACCAGAUCCUUAACCCACUGAGCAGGGCCAGGGAUCGAACCUGCAUCCUCAUGGAUGCUAGUCAGAUUUGUUUCCACUGAGCCACGACAAGAACUCCUAUAUAUAUUCAUAUAUAUAUGUGUAUGACCGAGUCCCUUUGCUGUGUAGCAGAAAUUGGCAUAUAUAUGUGUAUGACCGAGUCCCUUUGCUGUGUAGCAGUUUUAAAUCAACUAUAAUAAAAAACUCUCAGGAGUUCUCAUUGUGGUAUAGCAGUAAUGAAUCUGACUAGUAUCCAUGAGGAUGUGGGCUUGAUCCCUGGCUUCGCUCACUGGGUUGGGGAUCAGGCGUUGCCAUGAGCUGUGGUGUAGGUGGCAGACGUGGCUCAGAUCUUGUGUUGCUGUGACUGUGGUGUAGGCCAGCAGCUGCAGCUUGGCUUAGACUCCUAGCCUGGGAACUUCCAUAUACAAGUG